ensembl:lncRNA
GGAGGGUAGGGUAUGGGCAAAUGGGUGAAGAGGGGAUCAAAAGGUACAAGCUUCCAGUUAUAAAAUAAAUGUCAUGCGGGUGUAAUGUAUAACAUGGAGAAUAUAGUUAAUAAUACUGUAUUGCAUAUUUGAAAGUUGCUAGGAGAAUAGAUCUUAAAAGUUACCACAAGCAAAAAAUGUUAUUUAAUUUUUAUGGUGACAGGCGUUAACUAGACUUAGGGUGGUGAUUGUUUUGCAACAUACAAAUACCAGAUCAUUAUGUUAUACACCUGAAACUAAUUUUAUAUGUCAAUUAUACCUCAAUUUAAAAAAAGGCAGUCACAAAAGAUCACAUAUUCUGUAUUUCCAUUCAUAAGCAAGUUCCAAAUAAAGAAAUCUAUAGACACAGAAAUGUGGUUGCGUAGGGCUAGGAGGGAGGUGGGGGGCUGAGGAGCGAGGGGGAUGACAGCUAAAGGGUAUGCGGUUUCUUUUUGAGGUGAUGAAUGUGUUCUAAAAUUGAGUGUGGUGAUGAUUUCACAUAGCUAUGAGUAUACUAAAAACCACUGAAUUGUACGCUUGAAGUGCAUGAGUUGUAUGGUAUGUGAAUUAUAUCUCCAUAAAACUAUUUAAACAAAAAGAAUCAUUGGUAUAGACUUAUAGUUGGCUAAUCUCGUUCAUAUUCUUUAUUUCGUAAGGUAUUACUAAUGCCCAUUUACAGGUAAGUAAAUGAAUAUCCAAGAAUCACUAAUAAGUCACUUUCAGAGUCUUCUGAUGCCAACUUUUUUCCCCACUGUGCUACUGCUGGUGCCUAGGGACAGGACAGGACAGGAAGAACAUGGACUCAGGACCCUUGUGUUCUGAGCACAAAUCUCCACCAGACCACCAGCCAGCCACAUGCCUUUUACAGCCUACUUAAUCUGACUGUUCUGUCUGCUUUCCUGUUCUGAAGUAGAAUAACAUUACCCAACUCAGAGUACUGUUGGGAGAAGUUGAUGAGACACUGUACGUAAAGCCCGGCACGUGGCAAAUGCUCAACCCCUCGUAGCUCUAUUUUAUGAUGCCAUAUGUAUUAGCACUGGUUUGGUUGCAAGUGAUCAAAACCCAGUGUAAUCUUUUUGAAGCAAAGAAGGAAAUGUAUUAAUUCAUGUCACUGGGAGUCCAUCUAGCUUCAGGGGACUCAAGUGACCUCUCAGGACACUGGGUUUCUCUUCUCCUGGCUUCAGCCUCAGGCUGACGUUCUGUAUGUGGAGGCAAAGUUGCCAAAGCAGCUCCAGGCUCACAUUCCUACAGUUUAGCAGCCUGGAUGGAAGAACAUCCUUCUUUCCAGAUAGUGCCAACCCAAGUCCUGGGGAAGACUCUCACCGGUGCAGGUUGGCCCACCUGACCCUCUCUGAGACAAUCAUUAUGGCCAGGGAGAUGGAACUGUACUAACUGGUCAGACCUGAACCAUGUGCCCUGUCUGUGGGUGGAGGGUGGAUCAGCCUCCCCCAAACCAAUACAUGUGCUACAGAUCUACAGACAAUUAUUCUCUCUCUCAGGGUAAGAUGUCCUUUUAGACUGAAUAGUGAGGCAAAGAAAUUUCACAUUUUAAUUCUGCAUUUAUACUUUAAAUGAUCACCUACUCUGUGAGAAGUACCUGUCUAUAUAUCUACCGAUCCCUCUUUCCCCAUUCAGUGUGUGUGUGUGUGUGUGUCUGUGUGCACGCACACAUGAACUCUUGGACACAUGGGGAGCCUGCCAGAUGCCAAGGCUAAUGAGAAUCUCAUAUAAUCAAUUGUUUACACAUCUCAGAACAACAGUAAUCCCUUCCUGAUGGCUUCAACUAGUUGUUGAAGUCUGAUGGAGACAACCUCUGUAAGAAAUAUGGAUAAAAUUAUAUGUCAUUCAUGGGUAAUUUUACUUAUUGAACAUUUUCUCGGUUGUGAGUUUAGAAAAAAGAACAAGAGAACACAAACGAAUGCCCCUGUAGUGCGGGGCAGCGACUGAUGGGGAGACGCCAGGGUGGGUCUGCAUUUGCAGACGACUCCGCCCUGCCGAGUGGAGCUCUGGUCUAGCUGAGGCUCGGCCCCCUGGGGAGCCAACAUGGGUGUAAAUCAGAUGCGUGCCAUUGCUCAUCCUUCGGCCCAUUUUGUCAGAGGUUUGGAUUUAAUUUGUGGGUGUCUUUUUCUUUUCCAAAAGCAGAGUUUAGUACAUAGAGGAAAUUUAAGGCUCCAGAAUGCACUGCUGAGUUGGGGCCUCCCCUGGGGCCUGUUUCCCAUCUUUAAGUAUUUUCAUGGGGGAUUCUCAUUAUGUUCAAGGCUUAUUACACAUAUGUGUCUCCAUGUUCAUACAAUUCUCUCCCAACAAAGCCUGCCUCUUGAAAAUAAAAAUCAAAAGCACUUUGGCUUUUAGAUGGCUCUCUCUUCUGUAGACUUAAGAACUGUAUUUCGAAACUUAGAACUGAGCAAUGACUUCUUUGUCUUGGUCCAUCUCUGCCUUCCCCCUUAAGGGGACAGAUAAAAAGCUAUCAACACUGCCCAGGAAACAGUGACUUCUCAGUGUCUCGGCACAGCUCCCUGCUGUGUUCAUUUCCGUAAACGACCAGCAGGCCUUCUGAGUGAUGCUUCUGUAUUUUGCCUUGUAACGCCUACAUGUGAAUACUGAUCUGGGGAUGCUUUUUGCCUCUUUAGAUGCUUUUAAAUGUCUUUGCUUGAUGGACAACAUGCUGAUUUCAUCCUCCAGGUCUAGAAGGGCCCUGUCUAACCGGAGACUCAUCAACGUCCCCCAUCACGGGAACUGCUGCCUUGUGUUCAGAUCCUGCUAUCUAAAGCCCGUCUCCUACCAGGUCUUAUCUUAGGUGAUAUUCAUCAACAAAAGUUUGCCUGGGAACGACAGUUUACUCUUAUCCCAUUUUCAACCAACGAAUGACCCUGAAAAGAGUUUAUAUGGAGGAAGGCUCAUAAAGUUAGUUAGAGCUGCAAAUAGAAUCUGAAACCACCAGAUUGCAUUAUGGUAGCGAUAAAAAUUUUAAACACAGUGAGAUCAAUUUAAAGGAAAUUUGUCAGAGAGCAAGAGAGAAAAAAUAUUUCUCCCCAAAGAAGCUUCCUCAUGCCAGCAGUCACUGGCUGACAGUACAGGACAGACAGCACCACGGUGGACUCAGGGCGGGAGUGGGGCUUCUCCCUCAGCCCUGUGCGUGUCUCCCCACCUCGCUGUCCUUCCCCUCUCUCCUGAGGCCACAGUGUGGAGAGCUGAGAGGACCGGUAGGUCGGAGCCCAGACCCUGGCAACCACCGCACAAGUAGUCCCCAACAGACUGUGACUUUAGAAGACUGGGAGAAAUUCUUCAGUUCUCAGGGCUUAAAUCCACCUAAAACAUUCCAAAGUUCCCCAAAAUGGAGGUUAAAUGUGGCAAUGUUCACCUCACAGAGUCUGGGGAAAGGCUCACUGGAGGAUUCGAUUGUCCGGUCCUUAUGGGAAAGUGGAUGAUGAGACACGGGACUAUUCACCAUUUGAAGAACUCGAUCAACUCACCUCACUUGGAGUCCUUGCACACUGGGCAAUCUUCUGACCAGAGCUGGAUUCUCACGUUUAGUUUUUUUGGCCGUAAGUAGCAAAGGACUUCACCCAAAUUGGCUUAAACAAUAAAGAGUAUUAUUUUCUCAAAGGAGGAACAGUCUGAGGGAUGGCAGCCGGUCCUCUAGUUCGUCACCUUGUGGAUAAAAGACGGCGGCAACAGCUGUAAGCAUAACAUCUUCACACAACAAAAUGUGAAGAUCGUAGUGAGAGUGACAUUUCUUUGUAAAACAAGAACGCUUUCCCAAGCCUCUCCACACUUCUCAAAAACCUUUCCUUCAUAUCUCAUUGGCUGUAAUUGUUACCGGGCUCUUUUGUAAGCCAAUGGUCGGCAAGGGGAAUGGAAUCACCAUGACCAACUUAAAUUAAUCAAGACUGAGAACGGGCCCAGCUUUCUCAAAGCACAGGUUCCACGUGAAUCUA